AGUAUUUUAACCGUCAUACCAUUUUUCCCAAACCGUGUGGAAUGCAUGAUAUGGUCAAAAAUAGAUUUUUAAAAAAGCUUCCUCUAGAACACAGAACCGAACACAUCACAUGGACUCCGACUCUGUUUUUCCGUCCCCAACAUCAUAUUAUCUAGGCAUGGAACUUCUUCCCUUAGGCUUUAGCGCCACACAGAGGUACAGACAACGCAUCUCUACACAGGCAGGACUGUUUCAAAUAAAUGUUGGGGGUUUCCAUGAAUGCAUUAUGGGUCUGCUGUCCAUUUUAUAUUUUAUUAUUAUUAUUUUUGGCAAAGGUCAAGUUUUUAGAUGACUAUUUUAGAAGUGCCCCUGAGCAUAGUGUCCCCAAACUCCAAAGGUUUCUGUCGCUUCUGCCGAGUGGAUCAUAAGAAAACAUCCAUCCAUUUUCUUUGCCUCUUAUCCUCACGAAGGUCACAGGAGUGCUGGAGCCAUCCCAGCUGUCAACAGGCAGGAGCAGGGUGGACCCUGAACUGGUUUCCAGCCAAUCGCAGGGCACAUGGAGACAAACAGCCGCACUCACAAUCACACCAAGGGGCAAUUUAGAGUGUCCAAUUAAUGUUGCAUAUUUUUGGGACGUGGGAGGAAACCCACGCAGACACGGGGAGAACACGCAAACUCCACACAGGCGGGUCCGGGAUCGAAUCCGGGACUUCAGAACUGUGAAGCCAACGCUUUACCAGCUGUGCCACUGUGCCGCCACAAGAAAACAAGUUCAGGAAAUUGACAAAAGCUGGUGCCAGAUGUUUUCUCAGAUAAGGUCAUCGUAAUGACUUCAACACUCUGAUCCGAGCUAAAGAACACCAUGGCUUUGGAAAAAUAAUAGGUAGCAGCCCCCCACCCCUUCCAUCUCAGAGGCAGCUGCAGCAUAGAUGAUUAUGGAGGCACCCUCUGACGGUGUCUGAAGGAAGGGGAAAAUAAACCAAAAAAAAAGUUGGUGGAAACGUGAGGACUGAAACUCUGACUACAUACAUUGCAGUCAGUCUUGGCAAAUGGCUUUUUGAGUGCCUGCGCCAGGCUCCACAGGUUGUUGUAGAGUGCCGUGUCCACCAUCCCAGGAUCCACAGCGUUGACCAUCACUGGGAAACCUUUGUUUGUCAUCUGCUCUUUGUGUUGCAGAGGACAUGUUGACGAUACGGGAACAGCAACCUGGUCUGCCUGAUUUCUUCAGCAAGUCAAGCAGCAGGAACCAGCAUGGUGCCAGCUAGACAAAGUGACACAAACAACAUGGUUGGAGUGUCAAAAAGCCUUGCCAAAUUCAACACAGUGUCAAAACCGACUCCGUUUGUCACACGGGUAAAACAAGAAAUUAACAUUUAUGUUAAAAACAAAACACUUUAAACAAACACAUUUCAAUAUGUUGGUGCCUUGAGAUAGGUUUAGUGAUGUGUGUGUGUGUGUGAUGAAUCCAGAAGCCCAUCAAACCCAGUUAUAGCACUUCCCUAUUUUGCUGUUUCUGUAGCAACCAUUUUUGUAUUUUGGUGAGGCGCAGAUAACCACAUGUUCAGCUCUCCUCAGUUGCCUCUUUCAAUUUGCUUGGUAGAGAAAGAGCAGUCCUACUCUGCGCCCCGAGUAAUGGAAGUGUAGCUUUUUGAUGCCGUAAAGUGUAACUUCCUACCCUGAGGAAUGAAUACAAAUCUUCUCUGAUCUUAUCUCAUCAAUGGCACUGCUGUGUAGUACUUACAUAUGCUGUACGAGUCUAUAUUAUGCAGAAAACACUUAAAAUAGUGUCUCUUAAAUACAAACAAUUAAAAAUGCAUGCACAUUGGAAGAAUAGGAUGAGGUGUCUACAUAUUCAAAAGUGACAGACACAAAACAAAA